UAAGAUCUCAUUUUGUCCAAAAUUGCGUCCUAUGACAGAUAUAAUACUUAUUUCAUUAUUGCUCUGUGUAUGUGUGACCUUAAUCAUUUGAGGUUGUGUGUUGAUUUCACCUCUGAAUAUUUCCUCUUAUAGGUCCAUCAUCCUUGCAUGCGCUACACACUCAAAAGCAUUGAUAAAUGCUGAAUUUAAAAGAAUCACUACUGUCUUAUGUUCCUGCGUGUCACCUGGACCUCCAAUCCAAAAACCUGACGAAACUCUUCUAUCAGAAAGGAGGACAGCUAGCAAACAGACUUCAAACAAUGAAUGAUCAAAUGACAGAAGGCAUGGAUGAAGUCAGCAUCAGUGAGGUCAUUUGAAGACACCACUGUUGGGAUUUGUGCUCUCAAACAACAUGCUUCUUGUGAUGAAGAAGAGGAUCUUUGUAUAGUCCUGGAAGGCAUGAAGGUGUUGCAACAUCGUGCCAUGUUGUUUGAGCUGAUGUAUGCCUUAAACCUGAGCUAUCCUGAUCUCUGCUUUAUUUUUGAAGAAAUCCAAAAGAUUUUAAUGGAACUGCAUUGAGCGUAACUUUAACGAACCGUUUCUUUCAGUGAAAGGAUCAGAAAGACUGUGCUGCUCAUUUAUGUUCUUUCUAUUUAUCUGUUUUAAGUGUUUUCUCUUAUUAAAACAUUAACAGUUUGCUGCUCAGAGUUGAUUUUGGAAAUGGUUGUUGUAUUUUGUUUUUGUUGAAUCUUUGAUUAUCAGUUUAUACAAAUGCUGUAGCUCUGACUUUCUGAAGGAUUGAUAUUUUCCAGUUUGUAAAUCCAUUUAAAAAAUAAUAGUACUUACUGUUUUGCAUGUCUCUUUGGAAUGCAGUGUUUGUGCUUUAGCACUUCUAAAUCUACUGUGAUAGUAACUAUUUUAAACAUUUGGGUCAGUUUUACAGAUGGGGCUUUUUCUAGUCCCAGACUUUUGCAAUGCCUUAAUUUGAAAACAUAUUGCACUGACAUAUCUUGACAUAUAUCAGUGCCAUUGUUUUGUCUCAAGAUGUACUCCAGUGUUGUUUUUGUAAGGUAGGUUUGUUUGUAAACUUUUUUUUGUAAAAA